rnacentral:rRNA from 1 species
CCUACGGGUGGCUGCAGUGAGGAAUAUUGGUCAAUGGACGAGAGUCUGAACCAGCCAAGUAGCGUGAAGGAUGACUGCCCUAUGGGUUGUAAACUUCUUUUAUAAAGGAAUAAAACGAGGCACGUGUGCCUUUUUGCAUGUACUUUAUGAAUAAGGAUCGGCUAACUCCGUGCCAGCAGCCGCGGUAAUACGGAGGAUCCGAGCGUUAUCCGGAUUUAUUGGGUUUAAAGGGAGCGUAGAUGGGUUGUUAAGUCAGUUGUGAAAGUUUGGGGCUCAACCGUAAAAUUGCAAUUGAUACUGGCAGGCUUGAGUAUAGUAGAGGUAGGCAGAAUUCGUGGUGUAGCGGUGAAAUGCUUAGAUAUCACGAAGAACCCCGAUUGCGAAGGCAGCUCACUGGACUGAAACUGACACUGAGGUGCGAAAGUGUGGGGAUCAAACAGGAUUAGAUACCCGAGUAGUC